GUCAACUCAUGCUGCUGCAAAGGAUUUAGGUACUGUAACAGCAAAGGCACUAUUCAAACGAAAAGAGAAAUUUAGUUUUGAGGCUGCUCUAUGUACCCCCUUUGGAGGUUUGCUUGUGAAUGAAUUACACAGAGUUAAGAAAAUGAAGGCAGCCAGUGUUUCAUGCAACAGUGUAUGCUUCAGUCAUUUUCUGUUAUCAGCAGAACGUGAAAUCAGAUUGACUAUAAGAAAAUAUCUAAGGAGGGUUGUACCCAGUCCUUGUAAGUGUACUACAGGCAGGCUAGAAAAUAACUACUUCCAAAAAUUUGUUUUCAGUGGACAAUACAGUGCUUACCUGAAGGAAGUUUUGAUGACAUUUCAGAAGACAAAUCUGCAAUAAAUGGGUUAUUUCGUUACUACUAAUAAAUCUAAGAAGAUAACCAAUUUCAUGUACUUCACUAUACUGUCUGCUAGGACAAUGGAAACUGCUGAAGAUGCAGUUACUUUUAUUAGAAAUAUUUUGCCUUUAAUUUUCUGUUCUUUAAUGAAACUUUAUUACACGUUGUUUAGGGCUUUCUACAUAAUGGGAUUUUGAGGUAAUAUCUAUUAAAAAUUGUCAAGCAGAAAGGAGCAAUAAUUGGUUUCAAUUAAGGUUAGAGUUUGCUUUCUUUGUUUUUUUGCUAGACAGAAACUAUGGCAGCGGUUAUGUGCACCUCUUCCUUAUGUCUUCCUUAGCACUUUCACACUCCAAAAUGAAUAUGCUUCAGGAACUUCCAGCAAUGGAAACUUUGCAUUUGCUUCGUUUAUCCAGUUUUCCUCAUAAAACUAAACUUUUAAAUACAGAUGCAAAUUUUGAGGCUUUUUUCCCUGUUAUGAAAAUUAACUACGUAAUUAGGGUUUUUAGUUAGGAGUGCUAACUAUCUCUUGUGGAAUAUUUGUUAUAAUCGUUAAGUUGAAAAAAAGUAUUUUUCUUCUUUUAUACCCCCCAGAAGUGUGAUACAGAAGAAAAUUCAAUUAUCAUAUGUUAAAAGAGGGAAAAGGUAUUAAAAUGGCUUUCUUAUUAAAUAUCAAUUAUGCAUUACAAAACCUCAAGAUUAAAUAACCUAAUUAUAGGUGAAAGGUUUUGAUAUGUCGUAAGAUUAUUAAAAUACACUUAAAGUGCUGCUGUAGAGAAUUACUUGCAGAACUAUAGCAUGGGUAACUUACAAAUUCUAAUGUGGGAAAAACAACAACAACAAAAAAAAACAGCAGUAAUACAUUAAAAAAAAAAUUUGUGCUGAUUUGUCUUUAGUUUUAUCACACCUAUGAGUUUUGUGGUGUCUGUUGUUGUUCCUAAAAUCCUUAAUUUUUCCAAAAGUGUAACUUGCUGCUACAAACGUAUUAAGUCAUAGUUGAGCAGUCUGAUACAGCGUGAAAUUGUCCAUAAUACAGUUAAGACUUUUACCUCUUACCUUUUGCUUUUCAUAAUCUGCCUUGUUCUGAGGACCCAGAAAAAACCUAAACGCUAUACUGAGUCCUGAUAUCUCAGGAGAGUCAGGAAGAGCAAAGUACACCCAUGUAGCAUGAUAGAAAAGGCUCUGCAGUACCCACAGCUGCUGAACAGAUGAGCAGUUUUUAAUGGAGCUAAGAUUCACAAUGGAGUCUGGGCCCAGAACUAAUCAGAUCUAAUUAAGACGGACACAUUAUGGUCCAGCACUGUUGACAAGGUCAGGGUUCCUGUAGCUCUAAAUGAGGCAUGUUAUAAUUAUGAUCUAAUUGAAAAGCUGGGAGUGAUACAGAACCUGUGCACUGCAGCGUCUGAAAGAAAAGUUGCUCUUCAAGUCCUUCUGUAUUCUUUAUUAGGUUGUUGAUGCUCAAUUAGGCAGCUGUGCAUUGGAGGAAAAAAAAAGGUGGAUGUGACAGUUCCACAGGGUUCAAAGAAAACCUAUAUGAGUUUUUAAAAUCUACAAUUGAUUCAUGAAGUUCUACUAAAUAUAUGCAGAAACAAGCCUUUGUUUGCUUUUCUCCUUGAGAUUUAUCUUGAUAAUACAGCAAAGCAAAAGGAUCUUAGGUUGUUAUCAUGAUUCAGAAAUACAGUGGAGGCUUUUCAAAGUGGAGUAUGUGCAUGCAUCAAUCUGCAGAAUGAUGUUUGAAAUUUAGAGGCUGUAUUUUCCAGCUCUAAUCUGUCUUUAAUAAGCUAUCAAGGGGCCAGGGAGGGACUUUUUUGUUCUAGAGACUGCGGUCCCAGGAUUUCUGCUGUAUGACUGACAUAUGGGCUUAUAUAAAUUAUCAUACCUCACCACAGACUACGUCAUAUACAGUUUCAUUUUUCUCCUCAUGUGGAAUUUGUGGCUUAGAUUUAUUCUUUUCUUUUUAUAAGACCAUGUCUGCAAUGAAAGGCUUUAUUAGAAAGCAGGGCAUCUCGUUCCACCUUGGAAAAUCAUUCACAUGCACUGAAUACACAGAAAGCUGCUGCCACUGAAAUGUAGAGUUCUGCUUUCAUCUAAUGUGCUCUGGUAUCAAGCAUGCCAGAAUAAGAAAGAUUUCCUGCCUACAUAUGUGUUGUUUGGCAUGUUUCACCUUAGGGGCUGGAGAUUGCUGACUUGCAUCCAGUUGUGCAGGAUGCAGAAAAGCCUGCAUGAUCUCUCUGAAGCCUUGUUGUUUAGCAUAGCAAGAAAGCUGUAAUGCUUGGGGGCUUUUAACAUUUGGGGGAAGCCUCGGCAAUCAGCUGAAUACUCACCGAGGCACAUGCUAGUUCCCUUGUAAGUAGAGCAGGGAGAGAGUAUGAGAUGAGAAAGCUGAGGGGUCAAGGUAUGGAUAGGAAGAUUGUUUUGCCCAUGACUAACAGGUAAGCAGAGUUGGCUUGGGAAUUUAUUGCCAAUUGAAGUAGAUAUGGAAGGUGAGAAACAAAAACAAAAUUGAAGAUACCUUCCCAAGCUCAGCUUCAAUCCUGUACUCCCAGUCCAUCUACCUCUGGUCCUAAGAAACAGAGUAGGGCAUGGGGAAGGUAUAGUCAGUCUAUUUCAGAGUUGUUGGGGAGUGAGUCCAGGGGUGGAAGAGGGGUGGGUCACAAAGAUGAUCAGGGAGCUGGAGCACCUAUGCUGUGAUGAAAGGUUGAGGGAACUGGGCUUGUUUAGCUUGGAAAAGGCUCUGUGGAGACUUCAUUGCAGUCUUCCAGUACUUAAAAGGAGCUUAUAAGCAAGAGGGGGGACCAAAUUUUUACACAAUCUCUUAAUGAUAAGACAAGGGGAAAUGGCUGUAAACUAAAAGAGAGGAGGUAUAUGCUAGGUGUUAGGAAGAAGUUUACUCCAGAGGAUGCUGAGGUCUUGGCUCAGGCUGCCAAGAGAAGCUGUGGAUUCCCUACUCCUGGAGAUCUUCAAGGCCAGAUUGGAUAAAGUCCUGGGCAGCCUGAGCUGGUGGGUGGCAGGGAGUGGAAAUGGACUGUCUUUAAGGUUCCUUCCAACCUGAGCCAUUCUGAGAUUCUGGAUCAGUAUAUCUCUGCUAUUUUCUCCCUGCUGCUCUUUCCCCUUCACAUUUUGCCCCUGCUCCAGUGUGGACUUUCCACAGCUCUCAGUGAAUCUCUGUUUUGGGACCAUGGAACACCUCUUGCUGCUGUUUAUUGAUGUGUUCCCUUUGCCCUUUCUCACACUGCUGCCCUCACCCCUCCCUGCUGCAUGCUAUAUGUCCUGCCCUCUCCAUGUGCCCCAGGGUGGUUGAUGGGCCCAUCCCUGUCCUUCACUGGGGCCCAGGAGCCUGCUGGAAAUAGCUGCGUAUUUGAACUGGGGCAGCCCAGGCUAAGCCAAAAUGUUCUUCUAGGAGUAGGCAACAAAAUGCAGUUCUACAAACUUCUCAUCAAUUAAUAGCUGAAUUAUAAAAUCAUUUCUAGACAGACUGUUUUUUAGGUUGACAGCGAGGAGUUUACAGGUUCCUUUGCAUACACCAUACAUCUGCCUGCUGCCUCCCUCAAAUAAGCAGCAGAAUCAACUGCAUAGCUAGCUGAGUGGCAAAAAAAAAAAAAAAGAGGCUGUUUCUGCCUUCUGCAGAUUUCAGGCCAAGAGGCUGAUGCUUUCAUCUGCUGCCAGAAGACUCUCCCUGUCUCCCUGGGGCAGCAGAAGCAGGCUUUCCCCUUAGUUGCAAGGGAUUAGUCGGGCUGGGGAGGAGGCAAAUGAUUGUGCUGAAAUGCUCCUGUGCUGAGCUAUCAAUAGCCACAGCUGCCUGAAAAGCAUUGCAUUGAUUGCAACCAUGUUUCUGGAGGCUUUGGUCUGAAUCUUGUAUGCCUGAGGAGACUUGCAUGGCCAGGGAAUGGGAGUGUUCAUAUUUAUAGUUUUGGCUGUGUGUCAGUCAGUAGCACAGCCAAUCCCUACCCACUGCUGUAUCGGAGGAGGGAAAUGUGUUAGAAGCAGCAGCUGCUGGGGUUUGGCCCUUGAACUCUACUCUGACCUGACAUUUUGUUUGGUCCACACAAGCAGUAUCACUCAGCUCUGUAAAGCAGCUACGGGGGACUAUCAGUAGUGAUGUGAGCAAGACUGAGUCAGUCAGUGGUGAGCUGCUGCCCAUGCCUUUACAUGGAUCUCCUUCCAAGCAGGAUCUAUGCCCGCACCCUUAGGAAUCUCAGAAUCAUAUAAUGGCUUGGGUCAGAAGAGACCUCAAAGACAAUCCAGUUCCCAUACCCCUGCUGUGGGCACGAUUCCCAAGCACCAGCUCAGACUGCCCAGGCCCCCGUCCAGCAUGGGCUUGAACACCUACCUCCAGGGAUGAAGUAUCCACAGCUUCUCUGCUGUAUAAUGUAUAAUACCAUAUUUCUGACAUUGUUAUUACAUCUUUGUGCUCAUGGCAAGAUACAAUGUCAGUAAGUGUCCUUAGAAUGUAAUUUCUUGUUUGCUGCCAAAUAGUGUUUAAUAAUUUUAUUCUUAUAAGAGACUUACGAGAAUUUAUUCUUGCCUGCUUUUGUCCCAAAAUUACAAAUAUUACACCGUACAGUGAUCACAUAUAUUAGUGAUGUUUUUCUCAAGAAUACAGGGAGAAGGAAACUGAUAAUAAUAAUAAUCAAUAGUGUAUGCUAAUAGAUGGAAAACAAUACAUUUUAUUAGAGAAUACCUAUUUCUAAGAAAAAUUAGGAUGCUUCACAGGGGCUAUUUUUGGGGUCUUUCAAAAACAUACUGAAAAUAAGUGGACAGGUGUUUCAAUGUUCUAUUUAAACAAUUUCUUAAUGUGCAUAAUAGCUUAACGACUUAGUUCACUUAAUAUUAUGAAGAACAUUGUAAUUGUUUAAUAUGCAUUUUUUCAGACAAUGUUAAUCUCAAGAAUUAGAGAGAUAAAGCUCUUUCCCUCUGUUCUUCUCUCUAGCUUCCAAAAUAUUCCAAAUUUUGUAUACAGUUUCAAAAUUCUGCAUGUAUUGUGAUUAUGAAACAUGCAGUCUAAUUCUUAUUUUCUGUUGAAAUUAAUAUUCUUAAAUUAUUAACUAGGGUGUGGAUUUAUGUUUCUUAACCUCUUCUAUAUAGACCAGAAGUGUUGGAAAAGAAGAGGUUAAAAAGAUAUUCUUUAAUUUCUCAGCUGGAAAACUUUUAAGAGAUUUUUGCUAGUUACCUGUAUUCUUAAAAUUCAUUCUCAUUAAUUUGUUCUGCAGCCUUGAUUUCUGUGUAAAGGCAUUUGAUCUUGUAGAUCUUCCUGUUAUUUUUGGUACCCUUUGUAAAUCAAGUCUUACUGCGCACCAGGAGAAAAAAUAAUGGAGCUUCUCUUAACUGUUUUCUUGUAGGUGUGGGAGGGGGAUGUUUUUCUUGAUUUUUUUUCUCUAGUAAAAAAAAUUCACAUUAAUAACAUUGUGACUCUGCCUAUACACAUUUAUUUAGUAUGCUAAAAAACUGACCUUAUGGAGAAGUCUGGUCCUACAGUAAUUUCUAAAUAUUUGGAGAGUGCAUGUGUCAAGUGCUGAUAAACUUUGAAAUUAAUUUCUUUUCCACAUGAGUUAUCAAUAUUUCAUGUGAACUGGCAGGAUUUAACACUUCUAUUCUGUUUUCCUUCCUCUGCACUUUGUUUUGCCUUUGCAAGUUACAGUAGAAAAGUAGUAUUUAGUAUGUUAGAGCUUAAACAGAUGGGGCAGGUUUCUGGAUGUUGUUUCUUCAGUGGCAUUUUUUUGUCUUCUGUGGGAUUUUUUGUUUUGAUGAUCUUGUGGAUUUGGAGGAAUAAAAAAAAAAAAAGGGAGACUAUAUGGACUCAAUCUUGCUUUUUGUCCUGAACGUCAUCUGUAUGUUGAGGAUCUCUGUGCAAAAAAGAAUCACCUUUAAAGCAAGGCAGCGUGCAGAGCAUUUCAUCUUAGUUUGGUGGGCAUAGUGGGUACAAGUUUAAUAUCUACUUGAAAUGUGAGGGCUUUGAAGAAUGGCUGAAAAGUACUGCACAUAAAAAAAAAAGCAAAAAAAAAAACCCCAAAACUAAAACUAACCAACAAACAAACAAAAACCCAACAGAGCAACACAGCUAAGGUUAAGGAGAUGCUGCAUUUAUUUCCCUCGCAGGCCAGCACCCGCAACCUUAUUAGAUGUGCAGGAAUUUACAUUGUUGGGCAUUCUCGGUCCAUUGGAAAAACGUGUUUUUUUUUUUUGCUCAAAGCUCAAGGACCUAAAAGGCUAAUCAGAUAACGGAUGGAUCUAAUGUAUUCCACUCUGAUGAUUCUUUCACCAGCACUUGACUUUUGCAUGAGUUGUUACUAAUUUUUCAGAGGUUCAUAUUCUCCAUAUGCUUUCUAGACCUCUUUCAGCUGGAUCCAAGUGGUCUGUGUGUGGUGGUACAGCAGGAACAAGAGAAAUAGAUCUGCUUGCUUGGGUGCAGCUGGCUGGAAACCACAUGAUAAUAUCAUGAAUUGUAGUGGCCAUACUAGGAUGAUAGGCUAGGAAAAAAUAGAAUCAAUGGGAUAAGUCUACAGACAUCUUUGUUUUCUUUUGUAUAAUGAGUACACAAAACAGCCAAUUUAUAAUUAAAAGUACUCUAGUAGUCUAAUCCCUAAUAUUUGUAUAGAUAUUUAAAAUUUAUCUGUCUUUUGGUCUUAGAACUUGGCCUCAUUACUCAAUACUGCACAUUUCCUUUCUUAUUCAUUUAUUUUUCAAGUGUUAUAUUUAUCAGUCAGACUACAAAUGGGAAAAAGAGGGAGAAAACAGUUUUUAUUGUUACAUGAGUAGUAUUAAGUAGAUGCUAAUGUCACAAUACCUGUGACAGAAAAAAUAUCUAAAGUUGUUUCUUUAGUUUGGGUGUAGUUCAACGUUUUCAAAUAAAUUUGGUUGAUUGUUGCAGUUCUCUUAGUUUACAAUGCAGAGAUCUAUAAUCGGUUUUUGAGCAUCAAUGCCAUUAUCUGCUAUGCAUAAGGCUUGUUUUUUCUUGUUCUUUUCAUUUUGCUGCUCCCUUCUGUUUAUUCAGUCUCUAGUAGUUCAAGUAAAGCUAGAAAAACUACAUGCUGAUGAUCUGCUUGACUUUGGUCUAGUGCAUCCAGCAAUAGGAUUUGUCUGCAUGAAUAUACUUGUAAUGGCAUGAAUCUCUUCGCCGUGAAAGAGAAGGAGUUUCAUAUUCUCAUUUCUGAUCUCUUUGGCACAAAUGUGCUCAAAUGGUGGAUUUAACAGUUUAAUCCUUCCUUGUCCUCUGUUUAAAAAGUAACUUUCUCUCAUCCGUCAAUUUUGGGAACAACAAAAGUAUUAACCAAUAGAAUUCAGUAAUAUGAUUGUUUUGGUUGUGCAUCAUGCAGGAGUAAAUGAAGUAUGUUAUACCUUGCAAAAAACUUAAUUUUUUGAGCAUUGUCCUGAUAGAGAAAACAGCCCUAGAACGCAGAGAAACAAAUAUAGUCUUUACUCUUCAGAUUUGUUGCUAAUGUAUCAUUGAUGAACUUGUUUGAAAUUCUGAUUCCUUAAUGUAGAGCUUUAGUGUAAGCUAUAAUUGCUAUGCUUUUGGACUAGUUGCUCAAGGGAAAAUAGUUAUCUAUUUUUUCAGUAAGUAGUAUAGGCUUAGUGGUAAAUACAUUAUGUGUAGUGCCUGUCUUCCUGUUCUACUGACUGGAAUGCUUUGUCCAGGAGAGAAUGCAACUUGUGACAGUCAAAUGCAAUAUGCAUCCCCUCACAACUAGUGAUAUACAAUGCAAAAACUUAAAAUAAAGCUUCCCUACAGGUUUACCUUAUGGAUCUCCUGAGGAAUUUCUGUGCAUAUAAUAGUAAGGAAGACUUCUCUGCCUGGAAAUAGCAUUGUGACAGUUGUGAUCUGCUUCCGACAUCUUUAUUUUUCAUUAAUGCAGCCAGAAAAAAAGAUAAGAACUGAUGCCCAUUACUCAAGUAAUAUUUCCUUGAGAGUUUUCAAAAUGUUGAAAGCAGAACUCUUUCAUACAGGUUUGGAAGCUAAUUUCAGGGAAAACAGAAAAAGUAAAACCUUGCUAGCAAAACAGGAGAUUUCUUUAUUGUAUGGGGGUUUUUUAUUCUUCUUUCCUGUUGUGGAAACGCUGAAUGAAAGCAUAUAGAUAUGAAAGCAAGGCUACAAGUUACUACUACACAUUCAAAGUUCAAACUAAUACAAUUCUGUACCCCAAUCUGAAUCGCCAAACAUUACAUCCCAAUAGGAGUGGCAAGAAACAGCACAACUGUAUUUGUUUUUGAGGAAAAAGUGGGUCACCAAGACAUAAAGUGACAUAUAGUCUCUUCAUCCUUUUUGUGCUUUCUUUUCAAUGUGUACUUUUUCUUCACACUUUUCCCUUUUCAUUCUGCGGUCAUUAAAAAAAAAAAAAAACAGAUUUCAGUUCUUAUUAAUUAAUUGCUUCUAUUGCUACCGCAGUUUUCAUCUACUUAUUUUAUAUUUUGCUGUAGUCCCAGUAAGUCACAUUCCGUAUUAAUUUACCUCGAAACCCUGAAGACUGUACUAAAGUCUUUAAUCUCAGUUAGCACAUUGAGGAGGGAAGCAACUGAGUUGGCAAUCAUUAAUUAAACUUUUGUAUAAAGUACAGUAUUUUGCUCCCCUGCCCUUUCUACAAUCCUUUGAUAUUACUAGCUUUUCUUAUUUCUUUGGCAAAAGCUUGCCUUCCUGCUUUCCUUUACAGAGCUAUUUGCACAAAUACCACUGCAGAUUAGUCAACUAUGUUUUCAAAUUAUACUAUUAAAGAAUACAUCAAAAUUUAAAUUCUGGUCAAAUUGUGUCUGAACUGAGGUUUCAUCUGAAAUAAUGUGGAUGUAUUUGUACAGUCAGUCUUAGAUAUAUACUUUUUGUUGUGGGAAUUUUUAAACCAUUAUUUUUAAACCUUUUUCAGCAUACUGUAUGAAGAUUUUACUAUUGAUGCUUGCUUGUUUGGCUUCAGCAGACAUUUCCAUAUGGGCAUUUACACUCUGUAGUAAUAUUCUUGUCCAUAACUUUUGAAGUGAAGAGGUGAAAUCUAAGAACUUCUUAUGGAGUACCUUCAGUAAGUUAUCUGUAAUGUAUUAAUACAAGUUUUACCCAUUCAUCUUAUGCCUAUUCAAACAUGAAGCUGGUAAAUAAAAUCUUGACAGCAAACUGCUGGGAAGGAGAUGUUUUUUACUUUCAACCCCAAGUUGAGCUCAGCAUGUGAAGUUUAUAAGGAAAUGACAAAUAAUAGUUUCUUUGUUCAUAAGGACAAAUAAUAGCUCUGUCUUCUGAAAUAUCUUCAGGUGUUCUCUCCACAAUUGCAAACACAUUCAUUCACCAUGUCUCUUUCCUCCCCUGAUCACCUAUUACAGCGCCUUUUCAAAUUACCCUAACAAAUGACUGAAUGUCAUGAAGAGAUGCUCUUUCAAAACGGACUGUUUAGCUAAGGAAGCCUGCUUGUUGCUCUGCUACCUAAGUUGAUACAGCAUCAGAAGCAUCAGAAUCCUGCACUAAAUGUGGAAGGAUUGUUGUUUCCUUCUUCAUGAAAAGCCAUGAAGUCCUCAAAGGAGACCUUUCCUGCCUUCUUGGCUUUGGUCUUGUGAAUACUAGUCUUCAUCAGUGGAAGACUGCGUAGGAUCUCCCAUGAGAGCCUAGUACAACGGAAAGGUAGCCUUUAAAUACUUGACCUUUCAAGCUGCACAUAACUAGAUAAACCAAAAAGGCUUCUAAAUUUUGAGCAACAUGAACUCCUUGGCAGUCAUGUAAUUGGACGUAUUUCCUAUCCCUUGUCUUUCUCUACAUAAACUUUAUUUUGACCUAUUUCCCUCACACCCUAUCACAUAAUAGUAUUUCUUCUUUAAAUAAACCCAACUCAGUAAAUGUAACAAACUAAUGCUUUGAAUAAUAACAAGGUAGGAAUGGAUAGCUCUUUCUUUAAAUAGCCAAAUAUACAAGGCUGCAUUUUCUACAGUGCUAUUACACUGUAUCUGUUUCAAUGUAACAAGGUGGUAAAUAGAUCAGUGUAUUCUGAACGAGUUUUAUUUCUUUUAAAUGCUGAGAGAACUGGUACUUUAUUUACAAGUGGUGUUCAUUUUUCAUGUCAUCGUUCCCAUGGGAAUUAACAUAAAUCAGAAGAGCUCAAACGUUCUAAUUUCAGUGUGGGACCAGCAGCUGUUUCCCAGAAGUUCAGACAUACAGAACUCAAUAAGUCGCAAGUCAGACAGGCAGAGUCAGCUAUAUCCAGUUUCGUGCUAAGACACAUUCACACUACAUAUGCCCACUGGAGAUUGCGAUAACAAAAGGAUUGUGUAGGGCUUCCGAGAAAGUAUGAGUUUAAGUAAACAGUUAUGUAAUUUUUCUCUUUCACACUCUGUAAAUCACAGUGGUAUAAAAAUGCAGUCAGUUAGUGACAAGUUCUUUGGAGGUGCACAGUAGUGAACUGGCAUAAAAACACAACGUUAAGUAGCACAACCUAAACCGCUUCUUAUAGAAUCAUAAGCAUGCAUAUAGAAGCAGAUGAAUGUAACAUUUGCUUUUUAGUCUAUGGAAUACCUAUAAAUAAAUAACAUAUUAGAGCAUCUGGCAAAAAAGUAAAUAGCAUCUACUUUAUUCCUCUGAUCUGUGAUUGGACUGUUCUAGCAUAAUCCACAGAAAGAAAGAAAAGCCUUGAUGGAAGUAGCUCAGGAAGGAGCUAUAGAUGAGAAGAAGCAUGAGAAAACAAAGGCAAGGGAAGGAGCUUUUAUUACCUAUUUUACUGGUCAAGGUAUUGAGUUGAAUAUUUACUGUGUUUGUCACUUGGAUGUGAUGUGCAGGAUCAUGGAAAACAAUAAGUUUAGAAGUACCAUCUGGGUAUUGAUUUGAACCUUUCAAUUUAAGACCUGGUGCCCAGACCUAAGGAUGAAAUCUCCAUUCUUCUGAAGGAAUUAUGAAGUCUCUGAUAUCAGGAAAUCUAGAGCUUCUCCUUACCUUUGUGUUAUAUGUAUGAGAAUGGAAUAGAUGAGAUUGAGAAGUAAGUUUCACUGUCUUCACGUUACACCUUCACUUCAAUACAGCUGGGAUCAAGUUCUAGAUCUGCAUGUACUUAAGUGUGCUCAUGAUAAUGGUGGUCAAAAAUCUACAGCAUCUAACUACUGUAAUGUAGGUAUAGAUUUGUGUAUAAUUGUGGCAUAUUAAAAUACACGUUAUUAACAAUUUUUAGAUAAAAAUCAGUAUUUGAUGCAUAUUUCACAAAAAAUAUUUUUGUAAAAAUCACUUUGAGAACGCUUGGAUUUACUCAUAUAUAAUUUCACAAAGAAUUAGACCCAUGCAGUUAUUGAUUUUUUUUUCUGAUUUUUUUUUCUCUGAAGUCUUCACUUUACAACAGUGAAAUUUCUGCUCUGAUACAGAAUGCAUUCUGUCAGUGGAAGGAACGGUCAGCUCACUGCCAUCAAAUGGCACCACUAGUGAGAGGCAACUUUAUGGUUCUGAUUUAGGUAUAUUAUAUGUUCUCAAAACAGGCAUCUUGAAAGCUGUGUGUCAGUUAAUUAUGCAGCACAUAUAACUGAUGAAUUUAGCAUUCUAAUGACCUGAUCCUUGAUGGCAUCCAAGUUAUUAGCAUUUUCUUCUUUAAGUACACACAUUACUUAUAGGGAGAAAAGUAUUUCCAGACUUUUUACUUCAGUACUAAUUGGAAUUUACUGGCGAUUUACUACAUUAAGCCUGAAGGUUCCAUUUGGCUAUUUCAUUAAUAUGACUGAUCUUUCUUUCACAGAAAGAAAGCAUUAUCUUACUGUUUUUUUCUUUAAAUCUCUAGUUUCUUUUAUUUCCUUUUCCAAAGGCAAGCUGAAGCAGAAUGAGAUUGAUGAAUGUAGAAAUAAGGAGGUUAGGCAGACUGCACUUCUGUUGACUUUUGACUUUGGCCUAAUAGAGAUAUAUUGGGAUAUUUUAAACAGACAGGUUGGGUCUAAUGAUUUAUUUCCUUAUACUAUUGCUUAGAUCUCUUCACUGUCCUGGUCAUGGAGCUUUAAUGUAAAAACACUUGGUAAACAGAUUUGAAUUAUUAAUUCAUCAAUAGUGGAAAUUUAAUUCAUCAUUACAUAUAUAUAUAUAGUAUGCUUAAAAAACUUAUACAGAGAUAUGCAGUGGUCAUUUUUGCAAACAAAAUUACAGUGUCAUACUUAAGACAGCAGAAAAUAUUUGUAGUUCAUAAAUUGAUUCUUAACAGUCAGUUUAAAAUAAAAGCAUAAGUGUUUGCAAGAAUACUAAGAUUAUUCAUGUCUUCCCCUCUAUUAUAUUUAAAUGAUUGCUAAUUAUACUUGACAUGUACUCAGUGGUGAUAGCUUUGUGAAAAUAAUGCUGACUUCAUAAUAGUCAAAAAUGGAGCACAGGUAGUGCUGCGAGCCUCUUCAACUUUGUCAGGUAAAAGAAAUCUAUGCUGCCAUGGAAAGUCUCUUAUUUGAAACAUGAUUGGAUAUGGUAUCUGUCCAGGUAGAUCUUGAAUCCUACCUGGACUAUUUGGGACUACUAACUGCAGUAUUCAUUGAUUCGUUCCAAAUUCUAUACCUGCAUCAAACAUGAAGCUUGUUCAAGGAGGGUAGAAAAUAUGCUCAUUUCCUAUGCAUUUGUUAUCCUUUAGGGGGAAAAAAUGAACAAAAAAUAAUCCAGACAUCUGUUCUUGGUAUCCUAUCAUUAAUUAAAAAACAAAUAUUAAUAACUUACACCUCAAGCUAGGAAAAGGAUCUGUUUCUAUUUUAAAGAUUUAUUUUUAUUUUGAAUGGCACCUGACCCUUGGAAAUGGGCUUCCUGUAAUAACAUAGCAGGUCAUUCUCCCUACAUUUAGUCUGAUCAAUGAUAUAAAAUGUACUAAACAUCUUGCAUCAGUGCCCCUUUUUGUGAUAUAUACAUAAGUGAUGCAACGAUAAUUUGUUGAAUAGUUAUUAAAGUUUCACAUUCCAGUAUGUUCAACAGAUGUGCUCUUGCUUGAAAGAGUAAUUUAAAAUGAAAAAUAAAAGAUAGUAGUUGCUGAUAUGCACUUAGAGGUAUCGUGUUAGUACUGCUUGCAACACCACGUCAAGGAAGAGGUUGAAGGUCAGGCUCCAGGGGCAGCUGCGAAGUUCUGAGGGAGCCGAUUCAAUAAAGAAAACCACAGCGCUGGGGGCAGGGAGAUUUAUUACCAGACUGGUGGAUCUGCAUCUGCUCUCUUUGGUUUCAUAUGGAUCCAGAAUUGGAGUUUUGGAUUGCUUAUCAGCACACGACUUAGGCUAUUGAGAAACAAUUCCCAUCUGAGCUUGUUCCAUUCUAUUUUAUGUAGGUCGAUAAAUUAUCUUGUCAUGAGGCACAGACACAGAAAACGCCAUGAGGCUGUGAUUUCAUCAGUCCAGAUAGAGUUUGUUUGCACAUUGAUAUGUUAGUUUCUCUGCUAAGUUGCUGAUAGUAUAUUGGGGAACAACUCAUGAUGCAGCUAAAGCUGGUUUGAAGGAACAAGCAAAUGCAACAAAGAAUUUUCCUGUAUAAUUUUAAACAGAAAGGGAAUCAUAUACACUGUGUAAUACAGGUAAUCAGAAUGUAUCAAUAAUAAAGCAGAUCUGCUCUGAUUUAAAAAUAUUUGUGUAUCUUUCAAGCAUUAAAAACAAAGCACCAUUUUUUUUUCACUCUGGGUUUUUUUUUUUUUAAUUGAUUACAUUUCAAUGGUACUGCUCAACUAUAAGCUAAUUUGAUGGAAGUGAAAGUAACUACAGUGAGCACAUCCAAUACUUGAAAACAUGCUUUGAAUUAACUUGGUUUGCUUGUUGCUGGGGGUUUUUGCUUCCUUUUCUUUUCAAAGGCACAGUGCUUCUUGAAGAUUUCUAAAAUUUCUGGGGAAUGUGCUCUAAGGAUUUUUUUUUUAUUUUUUUAUUUUUUGGUAAGCAUUCCCAGAAGAUUGUUUUAAAGAUAUUUCCCUCCAGGGCUGGCAGGUGCAAGGAUGAAAUAUCCAAGCCUUUCUGCAAUAUCAGGUUUAGAAUUUCUUAAGGGAAUGAGAGCACUACCAAGAUGGUUAAUAGUUCAGUAAACCCUUUAAAGCUGGGAAGUUAGCAGGGAAAGCUGAGGAGUAUCAGUAUGCAAUGAAGCUCAUUCUGACAUCACAGUGUGUCAGGGAGAUUCAGUGUUUGGGGAAGGCUGUGCAAUGAAGCAUUCCAGUAUUUGCUCUUCCAUACACUGUGUAUUUCCAUGCAGCUGGCUGAAGUUGGUCACAUCUGUCCUGCAGCCAUUGCAGUGGUUUCUGAUCAUUUGGCUGCAAAGACAGCAGUGUGCAGUGGGUCCCACCAGCCUCUGGCCUUCUGUCUCACAUGCUGUUGCAGCUACAGUUGCCUCUUGUCUCUUGGUGCUUGUCAGCAGUCACUGUACUGUGAGGUGGACUGUCUCUCCAACAGGCAGCAGAAAACAGUAUUGUUGAUUGUGUUCCUAGCACAAAUGAAGUGCAAAUCUGACAGUUUGUGUUUGACCUAAUGCUACUUUGUAAAUUAAACCUGUCAUGUUUUGACUCUUCUCAUUUAUUACUACAAACAUGAAUACAGCACUCAAAAAGGAUGCAACAGCCUGAAUUCACAUAGGUUAGAGUGAUGUGAUAUCUGUGUAGUACACUGAAUUUCAAUGAUAGGAUUACUUGACAUGAACCCAGCAACGUUAUGGGAAGCUCACUAAAUUAAAAGAAAACUGUGCCAUUGUUAUUUUGGCUCUUUAACCAAAUAUUUCAAGCGAUUAACAGGCUUGCCCGUACAAACAUCUAGCUUACAAUUUUAGAAAUAUCAUUUAACUGAAACAUCUCAAAGUAGAAUUCUAAAUUAUGCCUGAUUUUCAAAACAGAGAGCUAUUUAUGAUUGUGUUUAUCAUCCCUGUAAACAAAAUUCUUCUCUGUUACCCACAGAAAACUGUGGCUUUCCUUGGAAACUUCUUUACCUUUUCCUGAAGAGCUUAUCGCUCUUUCUGGAGGGUAGGGGAAACAUUUUUCUUUUUUUCCCCCACUUCUGGUAACUCAGAGAUGACAGUGUUGCCAGCUGCCACUACAUGUGGGGAUACUUUCUGUGAUUUGGACACCUGUCAGCAAGAAACUGAAAACCAUGCAGAACGCUAAACAGCUGCCAUGCGUAAUGAUUUAAUAUUACCAAGCAAUAAGGAGCUAGGAUGUGUUUCUCUUUUUCUAUUGCUCAAUGAAAUAAAUGAUGCAGCUGAAUCCUUUUUGUGAUCCUCCAGCAUUUGCCACAUAUUGUCAAGCAUUUCAUAAAUAAAAUGAAGACUACUUUAUUAACAUUUUACUAGAUUUUAAUCUACUUUUAUUAUUUGGCAUGCUACAGAAUUUAGGUUUUCUUCUAGCCUCUAACUCAGUAUACCUGAGUAUGCUCAAAACUAACUGCCUAUUUUCCAGGACAUGCUGUAAUGCAUAUCCAUGUUUGUCAGACUGCAAUUGGGCCAGCAUCUUAUCCAUCACCAUUAAGAGCAUGAUGGGGAGCUGUUCUCUCUGUGUGUGUAUAUCUAUAGACGGAAUGUUACUGUGCGGUAUUUCAGAUCUACUUGGUGUUAUACAAUUCUGUUGCAAAUUCUCCCGGACCAACUGCAGUCAGUAUUUCAAGACUGAAAGUAGAGCUUUACAAACCCUCUUUGCUUGUGUGUAUUUCAUACACAACUAUCAGGCUUUCUAAAGUUUUAAGUUGUGUUCUAGAGAAAAAAAAAAAAAAAUUGCUCUCACUUGUCUUGCUUACUUUUUAAUAAUCUUUAUAUAUAUAUAUAUAUAUAGGAUUUUCUUAUAUAAUUGGAAAAUGGAAGUUGAAAAUAUUGAAUGAUGCUCAGAAAUACAACAUAUGACAUUGUAAACAUCAAUAUUAACACACUUCAGAUUAUUCUAGGGUAUUCCAGGUCUCAUUGCCGCACUUUUUUUCUAUACAGAGGGCAGUGCUUUGCAAAAAUGAGAGGGAAGAAACUGUAUGACUUCCUUGUUCUCAGUGACACUGUGCAUAUAUCUCCAUCUUCUUGUCUAGUGAUCUUUGUCCAUAUCCCAGCGGGUUAAGUCAAGGAUAGAGCACAGGAAGCUAAUUCACAUCUUGUUUUAAAGCUAGCUCCAGAAAUUUGGUUUUGGGAACCUUCUAAAAUACAUCUAUUUGUACAGGUUGACACAGAUGAUUUAGUGGGUAGAGAGGGCUGUGCUCUAUUUUGAUUUCUCUUUAAUUUUUGUUUUUAUGGCUUACAGUAAAAAAAAAAAAAAAUCUAAGAUACCUAGUUAAAGCUCUAUUAUUUUCUUCUUUACAAACACUGAAUAAAACAAUCUUAACAAUAAAUCUAGUGUUUAGACCUGCUAAGAUAAGCUGUGUAUUUCUAAGCCCUUCACUAAGGAAAGGCUUAAUGCUGCAAUGAGAGGGUGGGAGAGAGGAAAGCAGCAGUGUUAUAUGAACUUGAAAGCAGACCAGCUUUGACCUCACAGGAAUGUGAAGUCUGGUGAACUUGGUACUAUCUUUCACUGACAUCUGUAGCGUUUUCUGAAAAUCAGUGGAUAAUAUUUGUUCCAGUAGUUCACAGUUUUUUGUGGGGUUUUUUUGUUUGUUUUUGUUGUUGUUUUUUUUUUUUUUCCAAUUCAUUUGGACUUGAGUGAGGUGAUCCUAUAAAAUACAGCCUACUACAGAUUUCAGUACAGCCCUUUGUCAGGCACACUAUCUAAAAUCCAGUUGUUUAUGGAUCAUUUGUAUUUCUAUAUUUAUUUGCUAGCUGGAAACAAACUAUAGAAAUUAAACAGUGAGGUUAUAUAUUUAUUGGAAAACUAGCUUUUAUAAGCCUCAAGAUGCUGAUUUGUUUACUGCUGGGAUGCUGGGAAUUUAAAAAAGAGAAUAUGGCUAUACAGUUUGAUUAAAAAAAAUAGUAAUUUCUGUGAUUGCGUUGAUCUGUGCAGACUUUUUCAUAAAGUGAGUUUCUAUUUAUCUGGUUUUAGAUUUUUUGCUUGUAUUCCCAGGCAUAGCUCCUUAGGGAAGCAAAAGCAUUGACUCCUCAGUGGUGCCAUUUUUCACAUUGAAGGGUUACACGUUUUGAGGAAGAUAAUAAAUGUGCCCUAAGUGACAGAGCUGACAUCUAGAAAUCUGGAAGUGUUUUUUGAAUAAGCUGUUCACAGAGAACAGCUAGGUUUUCAUUUGAAUCUGUAAGAAGUUAGACUGAGUCAGUUCUAAUUCAUUUCUAUACAGAUUAUACCUUCCUAAACUUAAUUACUGUUCUUCCCCUAAUAUGUCCCUGAAGAUCAGCUAUUUUACUGCAAUUACUGAAAAUGAAAAGGAGAAUAAAAUUUAGUGACAGUAAACUAGGCUUCUCAACCUUACAUGCUCAUUUUGAGAGCCUGUUUUGCUGAUUUUCUUUUUCUCCUUCUGAAUGAAAAACAGCUCCCACUUCAUUAUGAAUUUAACAAUCAAGCUCUUAACAGCCGUGGAACUAAGUUCUUUCCUGUUAAUAUCACAUUGACAUAAUUAGGCAUAACUAUAGAUGAAUUCAACUCAUUUGUUUUUUGUUACAGUAGGUUUCAGAUACUUUUUAAAUACCCAACAUUAAACAGUAUUUUUGGUGUAGAUUCAAUUGUUGCUUUUUAUCUCCUGAGUUUUCUAGGGCUUUUUU
rnacentral:lncRNA from 1 species